CCUACGGGAGGCAGCAGUGGGGAAUAUUGGACAAUGGGGGCAACCCUGAUCCAGCAAUGCCGCGUGUGUGAAGAAGGCCUUCGGGUUGUAAAGCACUUUCAUUGAGGAGGAAAAGCUAUUGCUUAAUACGUAAUAGCCGUGACGUUACUCAAAGAAGAAGCACCGGCUAACUCCGUGCCAGCAGCCGCGGUAAUA
rnacentral:rRNA from 1 species